rnacentral:rRNA from 1 species
GAUGAACGUUGGCGGUGUGCCUAAUACAUGCAAGUCGAACGGAGUCAGUAGCAAUAUUGGCUCAGUGGCGAACGGGUGAGUAACGCGUUGGUGAUCUGCCUUGAAGUGUGGAAUAACGUUUCGAAAGAGACGCUAAUACCGCAUGUGCUCUCGAUUUUCAGAAAGUUGAGAGUAAAGGAUUUAUUCGCUUCAAGAGGAGCCUGCGUCCCAUCAGCUGGUUGGUAGGGUAACGGCCUACCAAGGCUAUGACGGGUAGGGGACCUGAGAGGGUGGCCCCCCACAAUGGAACUGAACACGGUCCAUACACCUACGGGUGGCAGCAGUAGGGAAGUAAUUUAGAAAUAGGACGAAAGUACUGAUCUAGCAACACCGCGUGUGCGAAGAAGGCCUCGGUC